CGCGAACACUCUGGAGAGACCGGUUCGAUCCGGCGCCGAAGGGGCACGAAGCGCACCGCGCUUUCAAACUCUCAGGCAAAAGGACAGAGGGGCGCGC
rnacentral:ncRNA from 2 species